GUCGGAUUAGCUAGUUGGUGAGGUAAUGGCUCACCAAGGCAGCGAUCCGUAGCUGGUCUGAGAGGAUGAUCAGCCACAUCGGGACUGAGACACGGCCCGAACUCCUACGGGAGGCAGCAGUGGGGAAUAUUGGACAAUGGGGGCAACCCUGAUCCAGCCAUGCCGCGUGUGUGAAGAAGGCCCUCGGGUUGUAAAGCACUUUCAGCGAGGAAGAACGCCUAGUGGUUAAUACCCAUUAGGAAAGACAUCACUCGCAGAAGAAGCACCGGCUAACUCCGUGCCAGCAGCCGCGGUAAUACGGAGGGUGCAAGCGUUAAUCGGAAUUACUGGGCGUAAAGCGCGCGUAGGUGGCUUGAUAAGCCGGUUGUGAAAGCCCCGGGCUCAACCUGGGAACGGCAUCCGGAACUGUCAGGCUAGAGUGCAGGAGAGGAAGGUAGAAUUCCCGGUGUAGCGGUGAAAUGCGUAGAGAUCGGGAGGAAUACCAGUGGCGAAGGCGGCCUUCUGGACUGACACUGACACUGAGGUGCGAAAGCGUGGGUAGCAAACAGGAUUAGAUACCCUGGUAGUCCACGCCGUAAACGAUGUCGACCAGCCGUUGGGUGCCUAGCGCACUUUGUGGCGAAGUUAACGCGAUAAGUCGACCGCCUGGGGAGUACGGCCGCAAGGUUAAAACUCAAAUGAAUUGACGGGGGCCCGCACAAGCGGUGGAGCAUGUGGUUUAAUUCGAUGCAACGCGAAGAACCUUACCUACCCUUGACAUCGACAGAAGCCGAGAGAGAUCUUGGUGUGCCUUCGGGAACUGUCAGACAGGUGCUGCAUGGCUGUCGUCAGCUCGUGUUGUGAAAUGUUGGGUUAAGUCCCGUAACGAGCGCAACCCUUGUCCUUAUUUGCCAGCGCGUAAUGGCGGGAACUCUAAGGAGACUGCCGGUGACAAACCGGAGGAAGGUGGGGACGACGUCAAGUCAUCAUGGCCCUUACGGGUAGGGCUACACACGUGCUACAAUGGCCGGUACAAAGGGCAGCGAGCUCGCGAGAGUCAGCGAAUCCCUUAAAGCCGGUCUCAGUCCGGAUCGGAGUCUGCAACUCGACUCCGGAAGUCGGAAUCGCUAGUAAUCG
rnacentral:rRNA from 1 species